GAGGAUAUAACUCAGUUGUAGAGUGCUUGCCUUGCAUGCACAAGAUCCUGGGUUCAAUCCCCAGCACCACCA
rnacentral:tRNA from 1 species